rnacentral:lncRNA from 1 species
AAAGUUUCACUUGCAAAGCUUCACCUACAAAGCUUCAGUGCAGGGUAUACAAAUACCGCCUCCGAACAACCGCCACUUCGGCCCAUACAUGGAUUCAAUUUGAAGUCUCCAGCCAACAGACUCUAUUGACUGAAGACUUGGGGGACUACAUUAUGUACCAUAUAUUGGGCCUCAAUUGGGCCUCAUGAAAAAUACUUGGGGGACUUAGCCCAUUAUUUAUGUAUUAAGGAGCGAGCCCUUAUUCUAUAAAAGGGACUCCCUCACCUUCAUUAGAGAGCAACGCCGCCAGCUGAGCAACCGCCUCGCCGCGAGCAUUACUCCUAACCCAUCACUUAUGUAUUGAGGAGCGAGCCCUUAUUCUAUAAAAGGGACUCCCUCACCACCAUUAGAGAGCAUCGCCGCCUACUGAGCAACCGCCUCGCUGCGAUCAUCAACUCUAGCCCAUCAUUUAUGUAUUGAGGAACGAUCCCUUAUUCUAUAAAAGGGACUCCCUCACCUUCAACGCCACAAGCUGAGCCAACCAAGGCAACACAAGCUACAAGCAGAGCGGCCUCGCAACAUGUGCUACUUCUAGUUGAGCAUCAUUUCAGAUUGGGCACCGCCUCAUAUCAAGCAUCAGUUCAAGACAACGUCUAGUUACUUCGGCCCACACACGGACUGAAUUUCAAGUCUCCAGCCAAAAGACUCUCUUGACUGAAGACUUGGGGGACUACUGUUUAUACCAUAUUUAGGGCCUCGUAUUUAGAUCUCGUACAAAUACUCAGAGGACUUAAAUGUAAUUAUGGGAUAAAGGAAGGGGCAAAUAUGUAAUAAGUGAGGAGGAGCCCCUUAUUCUAUAAAAGGGGACUCCUCCCCUCAUUCUAGGAGAGGCCUCACUCUCAUCCUCAGAGGCCAAUUCCUAGGUCUCUCCUCAUCCCUCUCAAAGCUUCCUCACACCCCUAAGCUCUAAGCUCUCUCUCUCCUUCUUCAACAGAGAAAUACAAUACAAUCAGUGUGGACGUAGCCCAAACCUUGGGGUGAACCACGAUACAUCUUGUGUCAUUUACAUUACUUGCAGAUUCACGGUCGGAUUUACGUUGUACCAAGACCAUCCGGUUUUGUGCAUCAACAUCCCCACCUUGUUUUUUGGUUGAUUUUGAACAAUUUUCCUUUAUGUUUUGGAUUAUUAGUUGGCGAUUUAUUUU